rnacentral:rRNA from 1 species
CAGCAGCCGCGGUAAUACGUAGGGUGCGAGCGUUGUCCGGAAUUACUGGGCGUAAAGAGCUCGUAGGUGUUUUGUCGCGUUGUUCGUGACAAACUCACAGCUUAACUGUGGGCGUGCGGGCGAUACGGGCAGACUAGAGUACUGCAGGGGAGACUGGAAUUCCUGGUGUAGCGGUGGAAUGCGCAGAUAUCAGGAGGAACACCGGUGGCGAAGGCGGGUCUCUGGGCAGUAACUGACGCUGAGGAGCGAAAGCGUGGGGAGCGAACAGGAUUAGAUACCCUGGUAGUCCACGCCGUAAACGGUGGGUACUAGGUGUGGGUUCCUUCCUUGGGAUCCGUGCCGUAGCUAACGCAUUAAGUACCCCGCCUGGGGAGUACGGCCGUAAGGCUAAAACUCAAAGGAAUUGAUGGGGGCCCGCACAAGCGGCGGAGCAUGUGGAUUAAUUCGAUGCAACGCGAAGAACCUUACCUGGGUUUGACAUGCACAGUACGCCGGCGAGAUGUCUGGUUGCCGUUGUGGCCU